rnacentral:rRNA from 1 species
AUUGAACGCUGGCGGCAGGCCUAACACAUGCAAGUCGAGCGCGCGGCGGACGGGUGAGUAAUGUCUGGGAGACUGCCUGAUGGAGGGGGAUAACUCCUGGAGACGGUAGCUCAUACCGCAUAUCAUCAGAUAUGCCCAGAUGGGAUUAGCUCGUAGGUGGGGUAAUGGCUCACCUAGUCGACGAUCCCUAGCUGGUCUGAGAGGAUGAACAGCCACACUGGAACUGAGACACGGUCCAGACUCCUACGGGAGGCAGCAGUGGGGAAUAUUGCACAAUGGGCGCAAGCCUGAUGCAGCCAUGCCGCGUGUGUGAAGAAGGCCUUCGGGUUGUAAAGCACUUUCAGCGGGGAGGCGUUACCCGCAGAAGAAGCACCGGCUAACUCCGUGCCAGCAGCCGCGGUAAUUC